CCUGGCCUUGACAUACUAAGAACUUCCAGAGAUGGAUUGGUGCCUUCGGGAACUUAGAUACAGGUGCUGCAUGGCUGUCGUCAGCUCGUGUCGUGAGAUGUUGGGUUAAGUCCGCAACGAGCGCAACCCUUUUCCUUAUUUGCCAGCGGGUAAUGCCGGGAACUUUAAGGAUACUGCCAGUGACAAACUGGAGGAAGGCGGGGACGACGUCAAGUCAUCAUGGCCCUUACGGCCAGGGCUACACACGUGCUACAAUGGUCGGUACAAGGGUUGCUACCUCGCGAGAGGAUGCUAAUCUCAAAAAGCCGAUCGUAGUCCGGAUCGCAGUCUGCAACUCGACUGCGUGAAGUCGGAAUCGCUAGUAAUCGCGGAUCAGAAUGCCGCGGUGAAUACGUUCCCGGGCCUUGUACACGCCGCCCGUCACACCAUGGGAGUUUGUUGCACCAGAAGUAGGUAGUCUAACCGCAAGGAGGACGCUUACCACGGUGUGGCCGAUGACUGGGGUGAAGUCGUAACAAGGUAAGCGUAGAUGA
rnacentral:rRNA from 1 species